rnacentral:rRNA from 1 species
AGUCGAUGAAGGACGGGACUAACGCCGAUAUGCGUCGGGGAGCUGUAAGUAAGCUUUGAUCCGAAGAUUUCCGAAUGGGGAAACCCACCAUACGUAAUGGUAUGGUAUCCUUAUCUGAAUACAUAGGGUAAGGAAGACAGACCCAGGGAACUGAAACAUCUAAGUACCUGGAGGAAGAGAAAGCAAAUGCGAUUUCCUGAGUAGCGGCGAGCGAAACGGAACAUAGCCCAAACCAAGAGGCUUGCCUCUUGGGGUUGUAGGACAUUCUAUACGGAGUUACAAAGGAACGAGGUAGACGAAGCGACCUGGAAAGGUCCGUCGUAGAGGGUAACAACCCCGUAGUCGAAACUUCGUUCUCUCUUGAAUGUAUCCUGAGUACGGCGGAACACGUGAAAUUCCGUCGGAAUCUGGGAGGACCAUCUCCCAAGGCUAAAUACUCCCUAGUGAUCGAUAGUGAACCAGUACCGUGAGGGAAAGGUGAAAAGCACCCCGGAAGGGGAGUGAAAGAGAUCCUGAAACCGUGUGCCUACAAAUAGUCAGAGCCCGUUAA